rnacentral:rRNA from 1 species
GAUGAACGCUGACAGAAUGCUUAACACAUGCAAGUCAACUUGAACUUCGGUUUGGGUGGCGGACGGGUGAGUAACGCGUAAAGAACUUGCCUCACGGCUAGGGACAACAUUUGGAAACGAAUGCUAAUACCUGAUAUUAUGAUUAUAUGGCAUCGUAUAAUUAUGAAAGCUAUAUGCGCUGUGAGAGAGCUUUGCGUCCCAUUAGCUAGUUGGAGAGGUAACAGCUCACCAAGGCGAUGAUGGGUAGCCGGCCUGAGAGGGUGAUCGGCCACAAGGGGACUGAGACACGGCCCUUACUCCUACGGGAGGCAGCAGUGGGGAAUAUUGGACAAUGGACCGAGAGUCUGAUCCAGCAAUUCUGUGUGCACGAUGAAGUUUUUCGGAAUGUAAAGUGCUUUCAGUUGGGAAGAAAAAAAUGACGGUACCAACAGAAGAAGUGACGGCUAAAUACGUG